rnacentral:rRNA from 1 species
GACGAACGCUGGCGGCGUGCUUAACACAUGCAAGUCGAACGGAAAGGCCCUGCUUUUGUGGGGUGCUCGAGUGGCGAACGGGUGAGUAACACGUGAGUAACCUGCCCUUGACUUUGGGAUAACUUCAGGAAACUGGGGCUAAUACCGGAUAGGAGCUCCUGCUGCAUGGUGGGGGUUGGAAAGUUUCGGCGGUUGGGGAUGGACUCGCGGCUUAUCAGCUUGUUGGUGGGGUAGUGGCUUACCAAGGCUUGGACGGGUAGCCGGCCUGAGAGGGUGACCGGCCACAUUGGGACUGAGAUACGGCCCAGACUCCUACGGGAGGCAGCAGUGGGGAAUAUUGCACAAUGGGCGGAAGCCUGAUGCAGCAACGCCGCGUGCGGGAUGACGGCUUUCGGGUUGUAAACCGCUUUCGCCUGUGACGAAGCGUGAGUGACGGUAAUGGGUAAAGAAGCACCGGCUAACUACGU